GAAAUAAAAUUAUUAAAGCUUCUAACUUUAAAAAUAGCAAUUAUAUUGUUAUUAUUUCU
rnacentral:tRNA from 1 species